rnacentral:rRNA from 1 species
UACGUAGGUGGCAAGCGUUGUUCGGAUUCAUUGGGCGUAAAGGGUGCGUAGGCGGCGCGGUAAGUCGGGUGUGAAAUCUCGGAGCUUAACUCCGAAACUGCAUUCGAUACUGCCGUGCUUGAGGACUGGAGAGGAGACUGGAAUUUACGGUGUAGCGGUGAAAUGCGUAGAUAUCGUAAGGAAGACCAGUGGCGAAGGCGGGUCUCUGGACAGUUCCUGACGCUGAGGCACGAAGGUCAGGGGAGCAAACGGG